AUGAACGCUAGCUACAGGCUUAACACAUGCAAGUCGAGGGGCAGCAUGAGCUUAGCUUGCUAAGCUUGAUGGCGACCGGCGCACGGGUGAGUAACACGUAUCCAACCUCCCGCUUACUCAGGAAUAGCCUUUCGAAAGAAAGAUUAAUGCCUGAUGGUAUCUUAAGCACACAUGUAAUUAAGAUUAAAGAUUUAUCGGUAAGCGAUGGGGAUGCGUUCCAUUAGGUAGUAGGCGGGGUAACGGCCCACCUAGCCUACGAUGGAUAGGGGUUCUGAGAGGAAGGUCCCCCACAUUGGAACUGAGACACGGUCCAAACUCCUACGGGAGGCAGCAGUGAGGAAUAUUGGUCAAUGGGCGCGAGCCUGAACCAGCCAAGUAGCGUGAAGGAUGAAGGUCCUACGGAUUGUAAACUUCUUUUAUACGGGAAUAAAGUGGCCUACGUGUAGGCUUUUGCAUGUACCGUAUGAAUAAGCAUCGGCUAACUCCGUGCCAGCAGCCGCGGUAAUACGGAGGAUGCGAGCGUUAUCCGGAUUUAUUGGGUUUAAAGGGAGCGUAGACGGGGGAUUAAGUCAGUUGUGAAAGUUUGCGGCUCAACCGUAAAAUUGCAGUUGAUACUGGUUCCCUUGAGUGCAGUUGAGGCAGGCGGAAUUCGUGGUGUAGCGGUGAAAUGCAUAGAUAUCACGAAGAACCCCGAUUGCGAAGGCAGCCUGCUAAGCUGUAACUGACGUUGAGGCUCGAAAGUGUGGGUAUCAAACAGGAUUAGAUACCCUGGUAGUCCACACGGUAAACGAUGGAUACUCGCUGUUGGCGAUAUACUGUCAGCGGCCAAGCGAAAGCAUUAAGUAUCCCACCUGGGGAGUACGCCGGCAACGGUGAAACUCAAAGGAAUUGACGGGGGCCCGCACAAGCGGUGGAGCAUGUGGUUUAAUUCGAAGCAACGCGAAGAACCUUACCAAGUCUUGACAUCCUGCUGACCGUUCCUUAAUCGGAAUUUUCCUUCGGGACAGCAGAGACAGGUGGUGCAUGGUUGUCGUCAGCUCGUGCCGUGAGGUGUCGGCUUAAGUGCCAUAACGAGCGCAACCCUCGUGGCCAGUUACUAUCAGGUAAGGCUGAGGACUCUGGCCAGACUGCCAUCGUAAGAUGCGAGGAAGGUGGGGAUGACGUCAAAUCAGCACGGCCCUUACGUCCGGGGCUACACACGUGUUACAAUGGGAGGUACAGAAGGCAGCUACCCGGCGACGGGAUGCCAAUCCCGAAAGCCUCUCUCAGUUCGGACUGGAGUCUGCAACCCGACUCCACGAAGCUGGAUUCGCUAGUAAUCGCGCAUCAGCCACGGCGCGGUGAAUACGUUCCCGGGCCUUGUACACACCGCCCGUCAAGCCAUGAAAGCCGGGGGUACCUGAAGUGCGUAACCGCAAGGAGCGCCCUAGGGUAAAACCGGUAAUUGGGGCU
rnacentral:rRNA from 1 species